rnacentral:rRNA from 1 species
GACGAACGCUGGCGGCGUGCCUAAUACAUGCAAGUUGAGCGAUGAAGAUUGGUGCUUGCACCAAUUUGAAGAGCAGCGAACGGGUGAGUAACGCGUGGGGAAUCUGCCUUUGAGCGGGGGACAACAUUUGGAAACGAAUGCUAAUACCGCAUAGCAACUUUAAACAUAAGUUUUAAGUUUGAAAGAUGCAAUUGCAUCACUCAAAGAUGAUCCCGCGUUGUAUUAGCUAGUUGGUGAGGUAAAGGCUCACCAAGGCGAUGAUACAUAGCCGACCUGAGAGGGUGAUCGGCCACAUUGGGACUGAGACACGGCCCAAACUCCUACGGGAGGCAGCAGUAGGGAAUCUUCGGCAAUGGACGAAAGUCUGACCGAGCAACGCCGCGUGAGUGAAGAAGGGUGUCGGAUCGUAAAACUCUGUUGGUAGAGAAGAACGUUGGUGAGAGUGGAAAGCUCAUCAAGUGACGGUAACUACCCAGAAAGGGACGGCUAACUACGUG